rnacentral:rRNA from 1 species
UACGGGGGGGGCAAGCGUUGUUCGGAAUUACUGGGCGUAAAGGGUUCGUAGGUGGCUCGCUAAGUCAGACGUGAAAUCCCUCAGCUUAACUGGGGAACUGCGUCCGAGACUGGCAGGCUCGAGUGCAGGAGAGGAACGCGGAAUUCCAGGUGUAGCGGUGAAAUGCGUAGAUAUCUGGAGGAACACCGGUGGCGAAGGCGGCGUUCUGGACUGCAACUGACACUGAGUGAACGAAAGCCAGGGGAGCAAACGGG